rnacentral:rRNA from 1 species
UUUAUAUGAGAGUUUGAUCCUGGCUCAGGAUGAACGCUGGCGGCGUGCCUAAUACAUGCAAGUCGAACGAGUUCUCGUUGAUGAUCGGUGCUUGCACCGAGAUUCAACAUGGAACGAGUGGCGGACGGGUGAGUAACACGUGGGUAACCUGCCCUUAAGUGGGGGAUAACAUUUGGAAACAGAUGCUAAUACCGCAUAGAUCCAAGAACCGCAUGGUUCUUGGCUGAAAGAUGGCGUAAGCUAUCGCUUUUGGAUGGACCCGCGGCGUAUUAGCUAGUUGGUGAGGUAAUGGCUCACCAAGGCGAUGAUACGUAGCCGAACUGAGAGGUUGAUCGGCCACAUUGGGACUGAGACACGGCCCAAACUCCUACGGGAGGCAGCAGUAGGGAAUCUUCCACAAUGGACGCAAGUCUGAUGGAGCAACGCCGCGUGAGUGAAGAAGGCUUUCGGGUCGUAAAACUCUGUUGUUGGAGAAGAAUGGUCGGCAGAGUAACUGUUGUCGGCGUGACGGUAUCCAACCAGAAAGCCACGGCUAACUACGUGCCAGCAGCCGCGGUAAUACGUAGGUGGCAAGCGUUAUCCGGAUUUAUUGGGCGUAAAGCGAGCGCAGGCGGUUUUUUAAGUCUGAUGUGAAAGCCCUCGGCUUAACCGAGGAAGCGCAUCGGAAACUGGGAAACUUGAGUGCAGAAGAGGACAGUGGAACUCCAUGUGUAGCGGUGAAAUGCGUAGAUAUAUGGAAGAACACCAGUGGCGAAGGCGGCUGUCUGGUCUGUAACUGACGCUGAGGCUCGAAAGCAUGGGUAGCGAACAGGAUUAGAUACCCUGGUAGUCCAUGCCGUAAACGAUGAAUGCUAGGUGUUGGAGGGUUUCCGCCCUUCAGUGCCGCAGCUAACGCAUUAAGCAUUCCGCCUGGGGAGUACGACCGCAAGGUUGAAACUCAAAGGAAUUGACGGGGGCCCGCACAAGCGGUGGAGCAUGUGGUUUAAUUCGAAGCAACGCGAAGAACCUUACCAGGUCUUGACAUCUUUUGAUCACCUGAGAGAUCAGGCUUCCCCUUCGGGGCAAAAUGACAGGUGGUGCAUGGUUGUCGUCAGCUCGUGUCGUGAGAUGUUGGGUUAAGUCCCGCAACGAGCGCAACCCUUAUGACUAGUUGCCAGCAUUUAGUUGGGCACUCUAGUAAGACUGCCGGUGACAAACCGGAGGAAGGUGGGGAUGACGUCAAAUCAUCAUGCCCCUUAUGACCUGGGCUACACACGUGCUACAAUGGAUGGUACAACGAGUUGCGAGACCGCGAGGUCAAGCUAAUCUCUUAAAGCCAUUCUCAGUUCGGACUGUAGGCUGCAACUCGCCUACACGAAGUCGGAAUCGCUAGUAAUCGCGGAUCAGCACGCCGCGGUGAAUACGUUCCCGGGCCUUGUACACACCGCCCGUCACACCAUGAGAGUUUGUAACACCCGAAGCCGGUGGCGUAACCCUUUUAGGGAGCGAGCCGUCUAAGGUGGGACAAAUGAUUAGGGUGAAGUCGUAACAAGGUAGCCGUAGGAGAACCUGCGGCUGGAUCACCUCCUUUCUAAGGAA